rnacentral:rRNA from 1 species
GAGCCGCGGUAUCCUGACCGUGCAAAGGUAGCAUAAUCAUUAGUUCUUUAAUUGAGAACUUGUAUGAACGGCCGGACAAGAGAAACCCUGUCUCUGCUAUUAUAUUAGAAUUUAACUUUUAAGUGAAAAGGCUUAAAUUUUUCAAGGGGACGAUAAGACCCUAUAAAGCUUUAUAUAUUAAUUAGAAUUUAUUAAAUUGAACGUAUAAAAAUUUAGUCUUAAAAAUAUAUUUAGUUGGGGCGACGAAAGUAUAAUUGAUAAUAACUGCUUAAACUUAAUACAAUAAUAAAUGAUUUUUUUUUAAUUGAUCCUUUUUAAAGAUUAAAGACCAAGUUACUUUAGGGAUAACAGCGUAAUUUCUUUUGAGAGUUCAUAUCGAAGAAGAAGUUUGCGACCUCGAUGUUGAAUUAAAAUAUCUUUAUAGUGCAGCAGCUAUAAAAAGAAGGUCUGUUCGACCUUUAAUUUUUUACGUGAU